rnacentral:rRNA from 1 species
GCUUACGGCCAUACCACCCUGAGAACGCCCGAUCUCGUCUGGUCUCGGAAGCUAAGCAGGGUCGGGCCUGGUUAGUACUUGGAUGGGAGACCACCUGGGAAUACCAGGUGCUGUAAGCU